rnacentral:ncRNA from 1 species
GUAGCAGUCACCGCAAGGUGCCUGCCCCUGAGGCAGUCCGACUUUCGCGGUGCGCCCAGCGUGCCGCGCCCGGCCUCGCCGGAUUUUACAAACCCGCCGACCAAGCAAGAGUCGGC